rnacentral:rRNA from 1 species
CCUACGAGAUGCUGCAGUGGGGAAUAUUGGACAAUGGGCGAAAGCCUGAUCCAGCCAUGCCGCGUGUGUGAAGAAGGCCUUCGGGUUGUAAAGCACUUUCAGUGGGGAAGAAAGCCUUGGGGCUAAUACCCUCGAGGAAGGACAUCACCCACAGAAGAAGCACCGGCUAACUCCGUGCCAGCAGCCGCGGUAAUACGGAGGGUGCGAGCGUUAAUCGGAAUUACUGGGCGUAAAGCGCGCGUAGGCGGUCUGAUAAGCCGGUUGUGAAAGCCCCGGGCUCAACCUGGGAACGGCAUCCGGAACUGUCAGGCUAGAGUGCAGGAGAGGAAGGUAGAAUUCCCGGUGUAGCGGUGAAAUGCGUAGAGAUCGGGAGGAAUACCAGUGGCGAAGGCGGCCUUCUGGACUGACACUGACGCUGAGGUGCGAAAGCGUGGGUAGCAAACAGGAUUAGAUACCCGGGUAGUC